CUGGGAGCUGUAGACCGGCGCUGUUCCUAUUCGGCCAUCUUGGCUCGAAAGAGAUGUACAGGUUUUAUGUGGAUAUAAGUUUUUAUUUCCCUGGGAUAAAUGCCCAAAAUGAGAUUGUAGUGUUAUGUGGGUGGACUAUCCUUUUGCUGAGCAGGACUGAAAUAUAAAACAGAAAACCUGAGAGGGAAGAAGUAACGCUAUAUAGAAGACAAUUCAUAAUGUAAAAAGGUCUGCAUGGAAGAGGAUUGAAGAGCCAGAUGACAGAUGAGAGCCAAAAGGUUUGGAGAUGCUGGCAGAAGACCCAAGACUCCUGGAUCAGAGACAAAAGAUUUAUUACUCACAGCACAGCAAACAGUGGGUUUCCACUUUUGCAUAUUCCU
rnacentral:lncRNA from 10 species